rnacentral:rRNA from 1 species
GGUUACUUCCGCAAUGGACGAAGUCUGACGGAGCAACGCCGCGUGAGUGAUGAAGGUUUUCGGAUCGUAAAGCUCUGUUGUUAGGGAAGAACAAGUGCAAGAGUAACUGCUUGCACCUUGACGGUACCUAACCAGAAAGCCACGGCUAACUACGUGCCAGCAGCCGCGGUAAUACGUAGGUGGCAAGCGUUGUCCGGAAUUAUUGGGCGUAAAGGGCUCGCAGGCGGUUUCUUAAGUCUGAUGUGAAAGCCCCCGGCUCAACCGGGGAGGGUCAUUGGAAACUGGGAAACUUGAGUGCAGAAGAGGAGAGUGGAAUUCCACGUGUAGCGGUGAAAUGCGUAGAGAUGUGGAGGAACACCAGUGGCGAAGGCGACUCUCUGGUCUGUAACUGACGCUGAGGAGCGAAAGCGUGGGGAGCGAACAGGAUUAGAUACCCUGGUAGUCCACGCCGAAAACGAUGAGUGCUAAGUGUUAGGGGGUUUCCGCCCCUUAGUGCUGCAGCUAACGCAUUAAGCACUCCGCCUGGGGAGUACGGUCGAAAGACUGAAACUCAAAGGAAUUGACGGCGGCCCGCAGAAGCUGUGGAUUAUGUGGUUUAAUUCAAAACAACGCGAACAAUCCUAUAUGCCUUGAAAACCUCUGAAAACCCUAGACCUCUCGUCCACCCGUUCGGGGACAGAGGGUGAGGGGGUGCAGGGACUUGCUCAGUUCGUGCCGUGAGAGCUCCCCUCACGCCCG